rnacentral:rRNA from 1 species
GCGCAGCAGGCGCGAAACCUCCGCAAUGCGAGCAAUCGCGACGGGGGGACCCCAAGUGCUACUCUUAACGGGGUAGCUUUUCUAAAGUGUAAAAAGCUUCAGGAAUAAGGGCCGGGCAAGACCGGUGCCAGCAGCCGCGGUAAU